rnacentral:rRNA from 1 species
UUAUGUUUUAUUUAUUAAUUAUUUUUUUUUAUAUUAUAAAUUAUUAAAAAUAAUUAUUAUAGGAUUUGUUUAAGUAUUUUAUAAAGAAAAAAUAAUUUUAAUUAUAGUUAAAUAGUAUUGUGAAAGAAAAUUGAAAUAAUUUGAAAAAUAAAUAUUUAAAAAGAAAAUUUAAUUUAUUGUACCUUGUGUAUCAGGGUUUAUUAAAUAAAAAUUAUUUAUUAUAAUUUUCUCGAUUUUAAAAGAGUUAAUAUAUUAUAGAAGUUAAUGUGACAAAAUUAUUUUAUAUAAUAUAUUGGAAAUGAAAUGUUAUUCGUUUUUAAAGGUAUCUAGUUCUUUAAGAAAUAAAUUUAAUUUAGGAAUUUUAUAUUAUUUAAUUAAGUAUAUUAAUUAAAUAAUUAUUUAAUUUUAAUAUUUUAUGGGAUAAGCUAUGAAAUAAAUUAUUAAAAAUUAUUAAAUAAUUUAAUAAAUAUAAGCUUAGAAAUAGUUAUUAUUAAUGAAAUUGUUAUAAUUCAUUUUAUUAUAUUGAUUAUUUAUUUAAUUUUAAUUAUGUAUUAAAGUAUUUAUUUUAAUUUUAAAAAUAAAAAAAUAAUGAUAAAAUUAGUAUAUUAUAUUGUAUAAAUAAUAUUAAUUGAUAAGUUUUUAUAAAGAACUCGGCAAAAAUAAUGUUCGCCUGUUUAACAAAAACAUGUCUUUUUGAAUUUUUUUUAAAGUCUAGCCUGCCCACUGAUUAAUUUAAAUGGCCGCAGUAUACUAACUGUGCAAAGGUAGCAUAAUCAUUAGUCUUUUAAUUGAAGGCUGGUAUGAAUGGUUGGACGAGAUAUUAACUGUUUCAUAAAAAUUUAUAAUAGAAUUUUAUUUUUUAGUCAAAAAGCUAAAAUAAAAUUAAAAGACGAGAAGACCCUAUAAAUCUUUAUAUAUAUGGAUUAUUAGAAUUUUAUAGAUUUUUUUUGUUAUAAUAAUUAAUUAUAUUUUAUUGGGGUGAUAUUAAAAUUUAAUAAACUUUUAAUUUUAAAAAUCAUUAAUUUAUGAAUAAUUGAUCCGUUAAUAACGAUUAUAAAAAUAAGUUACUUUAGGGAUAACAGCGUAAUUUUUUUGGAGAGUUCAUAUCGAUAAAAAAGAUUGCGACCUCGAUGUUGGAUUAAGAUAUAAUUUUAGGUGUAGCCGCUUAAAUUUUAAGUCUGUUCGACUUUUAAAUUCUUACAUGAUCUGAGUUCAAACCGGCGUGAGCCAGGUUGGUUUCUAUCUUUAAAAAAUUAAAAUAUUUCAGUACGAAAGGACCUAAUAUUUAAUAAAUUGUUAUUUUUAUAUUGAAUGUAAAUAAUUUAU